AAAAAAAUGACAACGAGGUUAGCUUCAAGUUCAAGCACAAGGCAUUCCAUAAAUUCAGCGCUGAUUACAACUCCAGGAAAAGUCCAGAUGGUUUAUUGAGUUAAAAAGCAGCCACAUAAGGAAGACAGAUGACUUCAGAGAUAUCUGAAAGACUGCUAAAGUGCAGAUUCCUGGACCCCAUCCCUAAAGUGCAGAUUCCUGGACCCCACCCAAAUCUGCAGAAUCAGAACCUCUCAAGAUAGAGCCAGGAAUCUGAAUUUAAGUAAGUUUCUGAAUUUUUCUUUUGCAUACUGAAAUUUAAAAACAUCUGUUUUCAAAACAUUUAAUUCUUUAUUAGAAGAUCAAUCUUCAUACAGCUUCCUUCUUUGAAACCAACUCUGAGUUAAAAUCUUGUUUUAAGAAGCAAAGGUAGUUUAAAUCUAAUAGUGUCAUAUUAAAAUUAAAAUUAAUAGUAAAUUGAGAUUGUUUUGACAUUUUCAUGUAGAAAGUAAGCCAACUUUUGCUGAGGCUAGCAUUGUCACAAAUAUUUUCACUAAUUACUACACCACUCUAAGUGAAUAAUGUUUUCUCCAUUGAGUUCAUAUCAUAUGCAAAGAACUACAGAGAACAAAGAAAUAAGCAAUAGUUCCUGACUUAAGGAGUACUACUGAACAUAAAACAUAUCUUCCCAUAGAUUAAAGCAAUUAAUUCUGAUAUCCCUUAAAUAAAAAGAAAACCCAAGCCUUUCUCUCAGGGUAUAAUUUUUUUUUUUUUUUUUUUUUU
rnacentral:lncRNA from 1 species